GCUAUAGACCUAACCCAACUAGACAAACACAUUCAAUAAUAACAACUUGAUACUUUAAGUAAAGCAUUCUAAUAUUUUUAGUAAAGGAGAUUAAAAAACUAAUUGGAGUAAUAACAACAGUACCGCAAGGGAACAGUGAAAUACCAAUGAAAACUCAAGCAACAAAAAGUAAAGACUACCACUUGUACCUUUUGCAUCAUGGUUUAACUAGUCUAACCAAGCAAAAUGAAUUUAAGUUUGACCUCCCGAAACUAAGUGAGCUACUUCAAGGCAGCUGAAAGAGCAAACCCGUCUCUGUGGCAAAAGAGUGGAAUGACCUUCAAGUAGCGGUGAUAGACCUAACGAACUUAGUGAUAGCUGGUUACUCAAGAAACGGAUCUUAGUCCAACCUGAAAUUAAACGCACCAGUUAAUUAAAACACCCACUUUCUUUUCAGCGUAAUUCAAAUAAGGUACAGCCUAUUUGAAACAGGAUACAACCCAAACCAAUGGAUAAAAUUAGCCCUAUAAAUAACCAAGUUGGCCCAAGAGCAGCCAUCUUUUAAAUUGCGUCAAAGCUUAACUAUUUCCACGCCUAAUAUCAACAUUAUUAUUUUAAUCCUCCCCCAAUACUGAGUAGUUCUAUAACACUAUAGAAACUUUUAUGUUAAAACUAGUAACAAGAAAAAGACAUUCUCUUAAAUGUUAGUGUAAAUCAGAUAGGACAAACCACUGAUAUUUAACACCCUUGAACCUAAAGUAACAACUAAUCAAGAAAACUUUACUAUAAUUAGCGUUAACCUAACACAAGCACAUUUCAAGAAAGAUUAAAAAAACAAGAAGGAACUCGGCAAACAUUAACCCCGCCUGUUUACCAAAAACAUCGCCUCUUGAACCCAAUAAGAGGUCCAGCCUGCCCAGUGACUCAGUUCAACGGCCGCGGUAUCCUAACCGUGCGAAGGUAGCGUAAUCACUUGUUCUUUAAAUGAGGACUAGUAUGAAAGGCACCACGAAGGUUAUACUGUCUCCUUUUUUUGAUCAGUGAAACUAAUCUCCCCGUGAAGAAGCGGGGAUAAAACUAUAAGACGAGAAGACCCUAUGGAGCUUAAAACAACAUAGCAUUUACUAUACUUCAAAACUCAAACACAAAUCUAAUAAGUAAUAUGACUAUAAGUUUUUGGUUGGGGUGACCACGGAGCAUAACACAACCUCCAUGUUGAAUGAAUUUUGUUCUAAGCCAAGAAUCACUUAUCGAAGCAUCAGUAUUCUGACAUCUAUUGACCCAAUCCUAUUGAGCAACGAACCAAGUUACCCUAGGGAUAACAGCGCAAUCCACUUUAAGAGCCCCUAUCGACAAGUGGGUUUACGACCUCGAUGUUGGAUCAGGGUCCCCAAGUGGUGCAGCCGCUACUA
rnacentral:rRNA from 1 species